AUCACUUCUCAGCCUUUUGGCUAAGAUCAAGUGUAGUAUAUGUUCUUAUUAAUUUAAUAAAAGCACCAGUGGCUCGUUAGCGGCUCCCUAGGUCAAUGUUUUAUAGGGAAUUGUGCAUUAGAAGAAGUGAGAUACUCAGCAAAGCAUCCUCUUUGGACGGAAUUUCUAAACUCUCAGAAAGAGAGAAGAGAAU
ensembl:snRNA U2 U2 spliceosomal RNA